rnacentral:rRNA from 1 species
CUUGAACGCUGGCGGCAGGCAUACCCCAUGCAAGUCGCGCGAGCGGCGGACGGGUGAGUAAUGUCUGGGAAACUGCCUGAUGGCGGGGGAUAACUACUGGAAACGGUAGCUAAUACCGCAUACCCUCAGAUUUGACCAGAUGGGCUGAGCUAGUAGGUGGGGGAACGGCUCACCUAGGCGACGAUCCCUAGCGGGUCUGAUAGGAUGACCAGCCACACUGUAACUGAGACACGGUCCAGACUCCUACGGGAGGCAGCAGUGGGGAAUAUUGCACAAGGGGCGCAAGCCUGAUGCAGCCAUGCCGCGUGUGUGAAGAAGGCCUUCGGGUUGUAAAGCACUUUCAGCUGGGAGGCGUUACCCGAAGAAGAAGCACCGGCUAACUCCGUGCCAGCAGCCGCGGUAAUAC